rnacentral:rRNA from 1 species
CAGUAGCCGCGGUAAAACAGAGGGUGCGAGCGUUAAUCGGAUUUACUGGGCGUAAAGCGUGCGUAGGCGGCUUCUUAAGUCGGAUGUGAAAUCCCUGAGCUUAACUUAGGAAUUGCAUUCGAUACUGGGAAGCUAGAGUAUGGGAGAGGAUGGUAGAAUUCCAGGUGUAGCGGUGAAAUGCGUAGAGAUCUGGAGGAAUACCGAUGGCGAAGGCAGCCAUCUGGCCUAAUACUGACGCUGAGGUACGAAAGCAUGGGGAGCAAACAGGAUUAGAGACCCCAGUAGUCCCUGUCUCUUAUAC